CGAACGAGAAGCUUGGGAUUCAAUCCUUCGGGAGAGAUUCCUUUGUAGAGAGUGGCGGAAGGGUGAGUAUCGCGUGGGUAAUCUACCCUUAAGUUGGGGAUAACUUGGCGAAAGCUGAGCUAAUACCGAAUGUGGUCUUCCUGCACAAGCAGGAAUGAUUAAAGGCGGGGAUCCUUCGGGACCUGUCGCUUGAGGAGGAACCCGCGUCCUAUCAGCUUGUUGGUGAGGUAACGGCUCACCAAGGCUUACGGGUAGCUGGUCUGAGAGGAUGGUCAGCCACACUGGGACUGAGACACUGCCCAGACUCCUACGGGAGGCUGCAGUCGAGGAUCAUUCGCAAUGCGCGAAAGCGUGACGAUGCGACGCUGCGUGGGGGAUGACGGCCUUCGGGUUGUAAACUCCUGUCAUUUGGGAACAAUAGGUCCGGUGCUAAUAGCAUCGGGACUUGAUGGUACCAGAAGAGGAAGCCACGGCUAACUCUGUGCCAGCAGCCGCGGUAACACAGAGGUGGCGAGCGUUGUUCGGAUUUACUGGGCGUAAAGGGUGCGUAGGUGGUGUUGUGUGUCGGAUGUGAAAUCUCAUCGCUCAACGGUGAAACUGCAUUCGAAACUGCAAUGCUAGAGGGCAGGAGAGGAAAGCGGAAUUCUUGGUGUAGCGGUGGAAUGCGUUGAUAUCAAGAAGAACACCUGUGGCGAAGGCGGCUUUCUGGAAUGCUACUGACACUGAGGCACGAAAGUUGGGGUAGCGAACAGGAUUAGAUACCCUGGUAGUCCCAACCGUAAACGGUGUACACUUGGUGUAGAGGGAUUUGACCCCCUCUGUGCCGUAGCUAACGCGUUAAGUGUACCGCCUGGGGAGUACGGCCGCAAGGCUAAAACUCAAAGAAAUUGACGGGGGCCCGCACAAGCGGAGGAGCAUGUGGCUCAAUUCGAUGCAACGCGAAGAACCUUACCAGGGCUUGACAUGCAGCUGCUACUCCCCUGAAAGGGGGAUUCCUUCGAGGGUGCUGCACAGGUGUUGCAUGGCUGUCGUCAGUUCGUGCCGUGAGGUGUUGGGUUAAGUCCCGCAACGAACGCAACCCCUAUGGUUAGUUGCCACCGCAGAUGUUAAGUCUGCGAGCACUCUAAUCAGACUGCCCGUGCAAGCGGGAGGAAGGUAGGGACGACGUCAAGUCAGUAUGGCCCUUAUGCCCUGGGCUGCACACGUGCUACAAUGGCUGGCACAAUGGGCCGCGAGACCGUGAGGUGGAGCCAAUCCCCAAAGCCAGCCUCAGUUCGGAUUGGAGUCUGCAAUUCGACUCCAUGAAGUUGGAUUCGCUAGUAAUGGCGCAUCAGCUACGGCGCCGUGAAUACGUUCCCGGGCCUUGUACACACCGCCCGUCACAUCAUGAAAGCCUUCUGCACCCGAAGUCGCUGAUCCAACUCGCUUUUAGUGAGAGGAAGGCGCCGAAGGUGUGGGGGGUGAUUGGGAUGAAGUCGAAACAAGGUA
rnacentral:rRNA from 1 species